rnacentral:RNase_P_RNA from 1 species
CCGGAGUGCCGCGGAAGGGCGGGUCGGGGGAAUCACCGAAAGGUAUUCCGCCGCCGUCUUUUCGAGGAAAGUCCGGGCUCCGCAGGGCAUGAUGCCGGGUAACGCCCGGGCGGGAAUUUUUUUCCGACAGAAAGCGCAGCAGAAAACAAACCGCCGUCAAAGGGGUUUCCCCUAACCGGGGAAGAAUCUUUGGCGGUAAGGGUGAAAUGGCGGGGUAAGAGCCCACCGCGGUUCCGGUAACGGGACCGGCAAAGAUACCGGUCCGGUUUUGCCGGAUCGGUAUCAGGCAAGCCUCAUCAGGAGCAAAGUCAAGCAGCGGUUUAACGGCCCGUUAAAGACCGCGGGUAGACUGCAUGGAGGUUGUUUGUAAAAACAACCCCAGACAGAUGGCAUUCCGCGUUCCCGCCGCCCCGGGGCGGCGGGAACGUGACAGAACCCGGCUUAUGGUUCA